UUCACUUAUUCAUGGCAGAAUCAAAGGAAAACAGAAAAUCAUACAAACACCAAACCUUUCUUGAAUUCCUCUUUCUUUUCCUCUUCUAUUCUCUAGCUAUCUCCUUUUCCUUUGAUGUUCCUUCACCUAGGUCAAUUUAUGUCUUAGGAAAUGAUUGAAUAAAUUGUAAAUUAAAGAUUUAUAAUUCAGAUUCAUGCAUGAAGAAAUGAGUAGAUGUUAUUUCCUACACAUUUCUAAACUUACCUUUGAUUUUCAAGCUUGGUGUAUAUGGAACCCUAAACUUUUCUUCUUCAAUUCUUUCAAUAUAUGGCUGUUCCUUUAGCUCUUGGUCUUAGG
rnacentral:lncRNA from 1 species